rnacentral:rRNA from 1 species
GACAGAGGGGGCAAGCGUUGCUCGGAAUCACUGGGCGUAAAGGGCGCGUAGGCGGGAUGGCAAGUCAGUCGUGAAAUCUCUCGGCUCAACCGAGAAACGUCGGCUGAUACUGCCGUUCUUGAGGGAUGCAGAGGAGACUGGAAUUCCCGGUGCAGCGGUGAAAUGUGUAGAGAUCGGGAGGAACACCGGUGGCGAAGGCGGGUCUCUGGGCAUUUCCUGACGCUGAGGCGCGAAAGCGUGGGGAGCAAACGGG